AUUGAACGCUGGCGGCAGGCCUAACACAUGCAAGUCGAACGAGUGGCGGACGGGUGAGUAAUGUCUGGGAAACUGCCUGAUGGCGGGGGAUAACUACUGGAAACGGUAGCUAAUACCGCAUACCAUCAGAUGUGCCCGGAUGGGAUUAGCGAGUGGGUGGGGUAAGGGCUCACCAAGGCCACGAUGCUUAGCUGGUCUGAGAGGAUGACAGGCCACACGGUAACUGAGACACGGUCCAGCCGCCUACGGGAGGCAGCAGUGGGGAAUAGUGCACAAUGGGAGAAAGGCUGAUAGAGCCAUGCCGCGUGGAUGAAGAAGGCCUUCGGGUUGUAAAGUAGUUUCAGCGGGGAGGCGUUACCCGCAGAAGAAGCACCGGCUAACUCCGUGCCAGCAGCCGCGGUAAUAC
rnacentral:rRNA from 1 species